rnacentral:rRNA from 1 species
UGCAAGUCGUACGCACUGGCCCAACUGAUUGAUGGUGCUUGCACCUGAUUGACGAUGGAUCACCAGUGAGUGGCGGACGGGUGAGUAACACGUAGGUAACCUGCCCCGGAGCGGGGGAUAACAUUUGGAAACAGAUGCUAAUACCGCAUAACAACAAAAGCCACAUGGCUUUUGUUUGAAAGAUGGCUUUGGCUAUCACUCUGGGAUGGACCUGCGGUGCAUUAGCUAGUUGGUAAGGUAACGGCUUACCAAGGCGAUGAUGCAUAGCCGAGUUGAGAGACUGAUCGGCCACAAUGGAACUGAGACACGGUCCAUACUCCUACGGGAGGCAGCAGUAGGGAAUCUUCCACAAUGGGCGCAAGCCUGAUGGAGCAACACCGCGUGAGUGAAGAAGGGUUUCGGCUCGUAAAGCUCUGUUGUUGGAGAAGAACGUGCGUGAGAGUAACUGUUCACGCAGUGACGGUAUCCAACCAGAAAGUCACGGCUAACUACGUGCCAGCAGCCGCGGUAAUACGUAGGUGGCAAGCGUUAUCCGGAUUUAUUGGGCGUAAAGCGAGCGCAGGCGGUUGCUUAGGUCUGAUGUGAAAGCCUUCGGCUUAACCGAAGAAGUGCAUCGGAAACCGGGCGACUUGAGUGCAGAAGAGGACAGUGGAACUCCAUGUGUAGCGGUGGAAUGCGUAGAUAUAUGGAAGAACACCAGUGGCGAAGGCGGCUGUCUGGUCUGCAACUGACGCUGAGGCUCGAAAGCAUGGGUAGCGAACAGGAUUAGAUACCCUGGUAGUCCAUGCCGUAAACGAUGAGUGCUAGGUGUUGGAGGGUUUCCGCCCUUCAGUGCCGGAGCUAACGCAUUAAGCACUCCGCCUGGGGAGUACGACCGCAAGGUUGAAACUCAAAGGAAUUGACGGGGGCCCGCACAAGCGGUGGAGCAUGUGGUUUAAUUCGAAGCUACGCGAAGAACCUUACCAGGUCUUGACAUCUUGCGCUAACCUUAGAGAUAAGGCGUUCCCUUCGGGGACGCAAUGACAGGUGGUGCAUGGUCGUCGUCAGCUCGUGUCGUGAGAUGUUGGGUUAAGUCCCGCAACGAGCGCAACCCUUGUUACUAGUUGCCAGCAUUAAGUUGGGCACUCUAGUGAGACUGCCGGUGACAAACCGGAGGAAGGUGGGGACGACGUCAGAUCAUCAUGCCCCUUAUGACCUGGGCUACACACGUGCUACAAUGGACGGUACAACGAGUCGCAAACUCGCGAGAGUAAGCUAAUCUCUUAAAGCCGUUCUCAGUUCGGACUGUAGGCUGCAACUCGCCUACACGAAGUCGGAAUCGCUAGUAAUCGCGGAUCAGCAUGCCGCGGUGAAUACGUUCCCGGGCCUUGUACACACCGCCCGUCACACCAUGGGAGUUUGUAACGCCCAAAGUCGGUGGCCUAACCUUUAUGGAGGGAGCCGCCUAA